rnacentral:lncRNA from 13 species
AUGUUCUCACAGGAUCCUGAGGAGGCUUGUAGUAAGAGAUGUUUCUCAGCAACCCAGGGCCACCUACAAGGGUUGGAACUGACUUGGUUCCAGGCCAGCUAUUGGGAUGAGGAGCUGAAAAAUUCCACGGCGGGAGGAGUCUUGCCCUCCACAGGGCUCAUCAAGAGGCUUAAACUGAAACAGGAGGGAUUUUAAGUUAGAACAGCUUUUAAGGAAGCCUUGUGAGACCUGAUUUGAAAACGGCGAAGAGCUUCAUCUCGUCCAGAGGCUCAUAGGCAUGUUCACUGACCAUCCUUUGGAAGACUUUGAGAGCAUCUUACAUGGAGGAAGUGGUUGUAUUGAGAGUUCACACAAGGAAAGCUCUGGACCGCCCAUAAACUGUGGAGACCAGUGAUAAAUAAAUACCAGGAUGAAAGGCCA